CAGUAGCCACGGUAAUACGAAGGUCCCGAGCGUUGUUCGGAAUCACUGGGCGUAAAGGGAGCGUAGGCGGCGUGGUAAGUCAGAUGUGAAAUCCCGGGGCUCAACCCCGGAACUGCAUCCGAUACUGCCAUGCUAGAGGAUUGGAGAGGUAGCUGGAAUUCUUGGUGUAGCAGUGAAAUGCGUGGAGAUCAAGAGGAACACUCGUGGCGAAAGCGAGCUACUGGACAAUAACUGACGCUGAGGCUCGAAGGCCAGGGUAGCGAAAGGGAUUAGAUACCCCAGUAGUCCCUGUCUCUUAUAC
rnacentral:rRNA from 1 species